rnacentral:piRNA from 1 species
UGAGGACCCGAAGCGCAAGCCUGGCGA